UGAUCAUCUCGCCGACUUCGAUGUCCAGAUUCACGUCGUUGCCCGUGGCGUCGACGGAAGCGGUCCGGGGUUCGAAGAGCUCCGCCUGGACGGCGGCGGCAUCGGCAUCCGGGCGUUUCAGGGCGCUGCGAAGCACCUCUUCGAAGCGAACGUCCUUACGCCGGUAUCCGGGCGUAUCCAUGUUGGCGAUGUUUCCCGCGAUCGCCUUGCCCCGCAAGCCGGUGGCCCUCAGGCCCGCCUGCAGGAUAUCUACGACACUGUUUCCAUCUGCCAUCUCGCACGUCCUUCCAUCUGCAGUUGGCCCUGCUCGCGGUAGCGUCGAACCUUCUCCCGCAGGGUUCGGUCU
rnacentral:rRNA from 1 species